AACGAACGCUGGCGGCAUGCCUAACACAUGCAAGUCGAACGAGACCUUCGGGUCUAGUGGCGCACGGGUGCGUAACGCGUGGGAAUCUGCCCUUGGGUUCGGAAUAACUCGCCGAAAGGCGUGCUAAUACCGGAUGAUGUCGUAAGACCAAAGAUUUAUCGCCCAGGGAUGAGCCCGCGUAAGAUUAGGUAGUUGGUGAGGUAACGGCUCACCAAUGCGACGAUCAUUAGGGGUUCUGAGAGGAAGGUCCCCCACACUGGUACUGAGACACGGACCAG
rnacentral:rRNA from 1 species